rnacentral:snRNA from 1 species
UUGUUCACUCUCUUCAUCAGCAACACAUAUAUUAAAAUUGGAACGAUACAGAUUUGCUUGACUUCUACUCAAAGUUGACACAAAAACUUGUGAAGCAUUACAUAUUUUU